UACGUAGGGAUCAAGCGUUGUCCGGAAUCAUUGGGCGUAAAGCGCGCGUAGGUGGCCUCAUAAGUCCGCUGUGAAAGUCAAAGGCUCAACCUUUGAAAGCCGGUGGAUACUGUGAGGCUAGAGUACGGAAGAGGCGAGUGGAAUUCCUGGUGUAGCGGUGGAAUGCGCAGAUAUCAGGAGGAACACCAAUAGCGAAGGCAGCUCGCUGGGACGUUACUGACGCUGAGGCGCGAAAGCGUGGGGAGCGAACAGG
rnacentral:rRNA from 1 species